rnacentral:snRNA from 1 species
AAUUUAUUUAAGGAAUAUUUUUUACUAAAAUUGGAAUGAUACAGAGAAGAUUGGCAUGGACCCUGUGCAAGGAUGACACGCAAAUUUGUGAAGUGUUCCAUAUUUUU